UAUGUAUCUAAUAUUAGGUAUAGAACAAUUUAAAACGAUGUAGUUUUAACUAAAAAUCUAUUAUUUUUAAUUUAUACUCUUUUAUUUAAAAAACCACACGGUCUCAAUUUAAUUAAAAAACCAAAUUAAUUAAUUACAUAAUCUUUUAUUGAUGUAAAAAUCCGUAGUUUGAGAAAUCCUAUCAUAAAACUCCUCACUUUGAAAAACUGUCAAGAUCGUCUCUACUUAAAUGGAGUAAGAAAUAUAGUUUAUUAUCCUUUUUAUUGUAUCUAUUAAUGAAUGGGAUUAUCUUUUUUUAUUAGUUUUAUUCAUCAUGUUUUCCAAAAGAAAAAGUUAAAAAUAAAACUAGCAUUAUGGAAACUGAUUUUAUGAAUUGGGUGUUCGUUCUUUCGUUUUAGGUUUCCAAACUACAACAAAAAGAUAUCAUGUUCGAGAGUAUAUGGGGAAAUUAUUUUAUAAGAUUUGAUUUCGUUUUAGAUAUUGAAUUUUAAUAUUAUUUGAUUUGAUAUUCUAUAAAACUACAUAGUUUAGGUGUAGUUUAGGUGGUUAGGUACAUAACAACCACAACCUAAAUCAUGUUCCGAGCUUAUACGGGUUUUUUCCAUGCAUAUCCUUUGUUUCCUUCUCUAACUUUGCUAACAAUCUUCUCUAUUGAUUGCUCAUCAUAAACCCUAAACCAAUUGUAAUCGUAACUCCCAUCGUCUGCAAUACAAAUUCUCCAAGUCAAAUCGGCAAAUAGUUCUUUGUGUACAAUCAAAUUGAUUUAAGGACAUGCAAAACACCAUGAUAUUAGAAGCUCAAGUUGUUGAUGAUCCAUUACAAACAGAUACAACCGAAGAUGUUGAUGAGGAUAUGAACCUUGGUAGUGAUGUAUAUGAACCUAUAAUUCCGGCCACUAGCCCUUUGACCUUAGGAUGGACUAAAUGCCAAAAAAACUGAACACAUAUGAACUAAUAGCUUAUAAAACAUAAAAUGGAUGGACUAAGUUCCAAAAUUACCAACAUCGAGGGUUAGAAGCAAAUAACUUUCAGUGAAUUAAUGUUGAAUACUUAUGUACUUCUACAAUUAUAAAAAAAAUAUCGAGAUAACAAUGUACUUUCAAGACGUCAAAUAU